rnacentral:rRNA from 1 species
UACGGAGGGGGCUAGCGUUGUUCGGAAUUACUGGGCGUAAAGCGCACGUAGGCGGCUUGGUAAGUUAGAGGUGAAAGCCUGGAGCUCAACUCCAGAAUUGCCUUUAAGACUGCCGAGCUAGCAGGUGAGAGAGGUGAGUGGAAUUCCGAGUGUAGAGGUGAAAUUCGUAGAUAUCGGGAGGAACACCAGUGGCGAAGGCGACUACCUGGCCUGUUUCUUGACGCUGAGGCGCGAAAGCUAGGGGAGCAAACGGG